rnacentral:tRNA from 1 species
GGGGUGUUAGCUCAGUUGGUAGAGCAGCUGACUCUUAAUCAGUUUGUCGCCGGUUCGAUCCCGGCACGCCCUACCA